AGUGGCCAUAUCUCAGUGGCAGAGCAUCUGCUUUGCAUGCAGAAGGUCCCAGGUUCAAUCCUCAGUGACAUUU